GAUCGAUGAUCAGCCUUCAUUCAGUGUUGUGGAAAAUGUUGUGAAGUAUAGAAGGUGUACAACGUCUGUAAAACUAUUUGGUGUGACGACGGUUUUAAUCGUUAAUUUCUAACCACUGAUACCAGUUGUUGUUUGGCUGACUGUUUUAGUAUUUUGCUUAUUUUAUUUUUGCAAUUUAAUAAAUUACUGAAGUCACUGUGUUGUUUGUUUUGCUGUUGUGAAGUGUGCUUUCCAGACAGACAGACGAAAUAAUUUAACAAAAAAUUAAAUUGCAAAAAUCAAACCAAUCAACUGUUAAUAACAGUCACAACAGAGAAAAUUAAAACACAUACAAGUUCAAAACAGAAAUAAAUUUAUACAAAAUGUUGAAAAC